UACGUAGGUGGCAAGCGUUGUCCGGAUUUACUGGGCGUAAAGAGCGCGCAGGCGGUCGUUCAAGUCGCGUGUGAAUGCCCCCGGCUCAACUGGGGAGGGUCACGCGAUACUGAUCGACUCGAAGGCAGGAGAGGGUAGUGGAAUUCCCGGUGUAGUGGUGAAAUGCGUAGAUAUCGGGAGGAACACCAGUGGCGAAGGCGACUACCUGGCCUGUUCUUGACGCUGAGGCGCGAAAGCUAGGGGAGCAAACGGG
rnacentral:rRNA from 1 species